rnacentral:rRNA from 1 species
UACGGGGGGGGUAAGCGUUGUUCGGAAUUACUGGGCGUAAAGGGCUCGUAGGCGGCCAACUAAGUCAGACGUGAAAUCCCUCAGCUUAACUGGGGAACUGCGUCUGAUACUGGAUGGCUUGGAUUCGGGAGAGGAAUGCGGAAUUCCAGGUGUAGCGGUGAAAUGCGCAGAUAUCAGGAGGAACACCGGUGGCGAAGGCGGUUCUCUGGGCAUGUCCUGGCGCUGAGGAGCGAAAGUGUGGGGAGCGAACAGG